UGUCAGGGCACCUCGCAGGCCGGCCCCAGGAGCCCUUCCCACGCGUUGGUUUGUCCCCGGGAGAAGCGAGUUGGGAGCCUCUCCAUGCCUUAUCAAGUUCCUUAUCUGAGCGGCUCCCAGAAGCUGUAGACCGGUUCAGCUUUAUCUGGUGGAGGGGAGAAAAACAGUGUAGCUCUCGCACUCCGUCGUAAAUCGAGGACCACCUAUUCUGCUGGCGUUUAACACACGAAGAUGGUGAAAUGCGGAUUGCUGGGUGAACCGAUAGGUCCCUGUUGUGGAGCGAGGGCUUUAUAUUCACCUUCCAGUUCCUGAUCUGUGCCGUGUGAGAGAGGACGCUAGUCUUCCUCCUUCAUUCCCCUUCCCUAAACCUUUCCUUGCUUCCAUGUUGCAUUGGUCAGACUUUUGGUCAGUGUUGUUUACGGAAGGGGGGGGGAAAAGAAGGCAGUUGAGGUUACAAACAAAAGUACUUGUAUGACUCAUCUACUUGGAUUUAAGACAUUGUAUCCUUCUUUCACGGGGCCUUUGCUUCUCUCUGAAGGAAUCAGAUGCUUAUUCCUAUUCUUCCAGAGGAUGAAUUGAAAGUUGUACGUUUUAGACUUAUUUUGGGCCACUGCUGAUAUUAUUAAAAGACAUAAUGAGAUUUUUUCACUGGAUUAUUGCCAGAAUUAGUUUACACACUGAAACAAUGAGUUGUUAGGCCUCUCAUACGAUAAUAUUUGCCCUGCUUUAAGUUGCUGUGGAGGUGUUUUAAAAAUUGUGGAGGACAGUCUGCAUCAGAAGAGGCUCUCUUCAUCUCUGGUUGGUGUGGCAAUCACAAUCUGUCCUCGAUGCCUUCAGCCUUGGCCAUCUUCACUUGCCGCCCGAACUCCCACCCGUUUCAGGAGCGUCAUGUCUACCUGGACGAGCCUGUCAAGAUCGGCCGCUCCGUGGCUCGCUGCCGGCCAGCCCAGAACAAUGCCACGUUUGACUGCAAGGUGCUGUCCAGGAACCAUGCUCUUGUCUGGUUUGAUCACAAGACAGGCAAGUUGAGAAGGUGAAAAAUUAAGUGUUGUGCAAAAUACUGAUUCUUAGGAAGGUGUUUGACAAAACUGAA